rnacentral:rRNA from 1 species
GGGUUGUGAGGUUAAGCGACUAAGCGUACACGGUGGAUGCCCUGGCAGUCAGAGGCGAUGAAGGACGUGCUAAUCUGCGAUAAGCGUCGGUAAGGUGAUAUGAACCGUUAUAACCGGCGAUUUCCGAAUGGGGAAACCCAGUGUGAUUCGUCACACUAUCAUUAACUGAAUCCAUAGGUUAAUGAGGCGAACCGGGGGAACUGAAACAUCUAAGUACCCCGAGGAAAAGAAAUCAACCGAGAUUCCCCCAGUAGCGGCGAGCGAACGGGGAGCAGCCCAGAGCCUGAAUCAGUGUGUGUGUUAGUGGAAGCGUCUGGAAAGGCGCGCGAUACAGGGUGACAGCCCCGUACACAAAAAUGCACAUAUUGUGAGCUCGAUGAGUAGGGCGGGACACGUGGUAUCCUGUCUGAAUAUGGGGGGACCAUCCUCCAAGGCUAAAUACUCCUGACUGACCGAUAGUGAACCAGUACCGUGAGGGAAAGGCGAAAAGAACCCCGGCGAGGGGAGUGAAAAAGAACCUGAAACCGUGUACGUACAAGCAGUGGGAGCCUCUUUAUGGGGUGACUGCGUACCUUUUGUAUAAUGGGUCAGCGACUUAUAUUCUGUAGCAAGGUUAACCGAAUAGGGGAGCCGAAGGGAAACCGAGUCUUAACUGGGCGUUAAGUUGCAGGGUAUAGACCCGAAACCCGGUGAUCUAGCCAUGGGCAGGUUGAAGGUUGGGUAACACUAACUGGAGGACCGAACCGACUAAUGUUGAAAAAUUAGCGGAUGACUUGUGGCUGGGGGUGAAAGGCCAAUCAAACCGGGAGAUAGCUGGUUCUCCCCGAAAGCUAUUUAGGUAGCGCCUCGUGAAUUCAUCUCCGGGGGUAGAGCACUGUUUCGGCAAGGGGGUCAUCCCGACUUACCAACCCGAUGCAAACUGCGAAUACCGGAGAAUGUUAUCACGGGAGACACACGGCGGGUGCUAACGUCCGUCGUGAAGAGGGAAACAACCCAGACCGCCAGCUAAGGUCCCAAAGUCAUGGUUAAGUGGGAAACGAUGUGGGAAGGCCCAGACAGCCAGGAUGUUGGCUUAGAAGCAGCCAUCAUUUAAAGAAAGCGUAAUAGCUCACUGGUCGAGUCGGCCUGCGCGGAAGAUGUAACGGGGCUAAACCAUGCACCGAAGCUGCGGCAGCGACGCUUAUGCGUUGUUGGGUAGGGGAGCGUUCUGUAAGCCUGCGAAGGUGUGCUGUGAGGCAUGCUGGAGGUAUCAGAAGUGCGAAUGCUGACAUAAGUAACGAUAAAGCGGGUGAAAAGCCCGCUCGCCGGAAGACCAAGGGUUCCUGUCCAACGUUAAUCGGGGCAGGGUGAGUCGACCCCUAAGGCGAGGCCGAAAGGCGUAGUCGAUGGGAAACAGGUUAAUAUUCCUGUACUUGGUGUUACUGCGAAGGGGGGACGGAGAAGGCUAUGUUGGCCGGGCGACGGUUGUCCCGGUUUAAGCGUGUAGGCUGGUUUUCCAGGCAAAUCCGGAAAAUCAAGGCUGAGGCGUGAUGACGAGGCACUACGGUGCUGAAGCAACAAAUGCCCUGCUUCCAGGAAAAGCCUCUAAGCAUCAGGUAACAUCAAAUCGUACCCCAAACCGACACAGGUGGUCAGGUAGAGAAUACCAAGGCGCUUGAGAGAACUCGGGUGAAGGAACUAGGCAAAAUGGUGCCGUAACUUCGGGAGAAGGCACGCUGAUAUGUAGGUGAAGCGACUUGCUCGUGGAGCUGAAAUCAGUCGAAGAUACCAGCUGGCUGCAACUGUUUAUUAAAAACACAGCACUGUGCAAACACGAAAGUGGACGUAUACGGUGUGACGCCUGCCCGGUGCCGGAAGGUUAAUUGAUGGGGUCAGCGCAAGCGAAGCUCUUGAUCGAAGCCCCGGUAAACGGCGGCCGUAACUAUAACGGUCCUAAGGUAGCGAAAUUCCUUGUCGGGUAAGUUCCGACCUGCACGAAUGGCGUAAUGAUGGCCAGGCUGUCUCCACCCGAGACUCAGUGAAAUUGAACUCGCUGUGAAGAUGCAGUGUACCCGCGGCAAGACGGAAAGACCCCGUGAACCUUUACUAUAGCUUGACACUGAACAUUGAGCCUUGAUGUGUAGGAUAGGUGGGAGGCUUGGAAGUGUGGACGCCAGUCUGCAUGGAGCCGACCUUGAAAUACCACCCUUUAAUGUUUGAUGUUCUAACGUUGACCCGUAAUCCGGGUUGCGGACAGUGUCUGGUGGGUAGUUUGACUGGGGCGGUCUCCUCCUAAAGAGUAACGGAGGAGCACGAAGGUUGGCUAAUCCUGGUCGGACAUCAGGAGGUUAGUGCAAUGGCAUAAGCCAGCUUGACUGCGAGCGUGACGGCGCGAGCAGGUGCGAAAGCAGGUCAUAGUGAUCCGGUGGUUCUGAAUGGAAGGGCCAUCGCUCAACGGAUAAAAGGUACUCCGGGGAUAACAGGCUGAUACCGCCCAAGAGUUCAUAUCGACGGCGGUGUUUGGCACCUCGAUGUCGGCUCAUCACAUCCUGGGGCUGAAGUAGGUCCCAAGGGUAUGGCUGUUCGCCAUUUAAAGUGGUACGCGAGCUGGGUUUAGAACGUCGUGAGACAGUUCGGUCCCUAUCUGCCGUGGGCGCUGGAGAACUGAGGGGGGCUGCUCCUAGUACGAGAGGACCGGAGUGGACGCAUCACUGGUGUUCGGGUUGUCAUGCCAAUGGCACUGCCCGGUAGCUAAAUGCGGAAGAGAUAAGUGCUGAAAGCAUCUAAGCACGAAACUUGCCCCGAGAUGAGUUCUCCCUGACCCUUUAAGGGUCCUGAAGGAACGUUGAAGACGACGACGUUGAUAGGCCGGGUGUGUAAGCGCAGCGAUGCGUUGAGCUAACCGGUACUAAUGAACCGUGAGGCUUAACCUUACAACGCCGAAGCUGUU